AGUGUGCCGCCGCGCGGGACCCGGGUGCGGACUACAGUGAAUUCAUGUCCGCGUGCCGGUGCACGCAGCGUUUGUUCGGUAUCGACGCUGGUUAUUGAUAAACAAUCAUUCGCCUAUUCGAUGCCCGGGCUCGUAUCGGGGCCUCUGCGGGUAUAAGCCCCGGUUCUUCUUCACCGGCAGGCUGGUUCGUUGACACAGCACCGAGGCCGCCACAGCACCGAGGCCGCGACAGCACCGGGGGCCGACACACAGCACCGGGGGUGACACACAGCACCGGGCCGCCCGCUGGGCUCAUGCGACGCAUCAAGAAGAAGCCUGUGUGAUAUAGUUGACAGCUCAGGAAAAAAACAAGCCUUUAUUUCCACAG